AGAUUUAGUUUUGUUAAUUGGAAACCUAUAAGCUAGUUCUCCUUCCCUAAAGACCUUGUCGUCAUAUUCUUUGAAGCAUUUUGUGGUCAUAUUCUUUUGGGGCAUUUUGUCGGGUAGGAGGUGAAUAGUAUAACUUUUACUUCCCACUUCUGCUGCUUUCUUCUUUCUACAUGAUAAUGUACAUUUCCUAAUUUGAAACCUUGUUAAAUCACAAACUAGUUGGGAUUUGGAACCUUGUACGUCCUUGUUGUACCCUGCAGCUAAAAUUGGAACUGAAGGUUCUGUAGUGUUUAGGUGGUCAUUAGCAACUUGAAUUUAAAGGUCGUGUUAUUUAGGAAGCCACACAGCUGCAUGUUCUCAUAUAAUAGGUGAGUCCUUGAAAUUUUGGUGGUUAAGGACCGGUAAUUAAGUGCUGCGAAUCAUACUAUCCUCAACGUUAUUACCCUGCCGUUGCUCUUUUGUCACAUAACUGAAUUUUAACUGUGGAUAAUUGCUCGUUUAUAGUUUUUUUGGUGCAACAUGGCAAUAGCUAAUGAUGCAGAAACCAUGCUUGACUUUUCGAGUUCAUUAAACAACUUGUAAUGAUGCUUUCCUAUGUAAAUUCUUGCCAGCAGUUUUGCAGCCUAUCAAUACAAUAUACCCUUUACCAAUAAAAAAUAGUAAUAAUUGCUCGUUUAUAUGCUAGGCACUUAUUAGUACAUUUAAUCUGCAACAUACUUCCUCUCUAUCCGAAGUUGACUAUGCUGGAUGAGUUUCACAGAAAUUAAGAUAAGAAAGCUUGAACUAAUUGUUAUACUUGAAUUUCUUUGGAAUAUGUUAUUAAAAUAAUAAGAGGUAAAGAUCGUAACAAAUUUAAAAUGAUAUAAGAUUGUAUUCCUUUCCUCCCACACUAAAUGUCCACCAUUCAGUUUUAGUUCAACUCAAAAUAAUAUUUACUUUUCUAGAAACACAAGAUUCCCAAUAUAUUAUACUACAAAAACUUGUUAGUAGUUUUACUUUUUUAAGUACUACUUUUUAUUUAUUUAUUCUACAGAAAAAAAAAAGUAAUUUUACGGCCAUACAUAUAGCAAAUAGCAGUACACAGUUUACUUUUUUCAACUUUACUCUUUUUACCAUAUCAAAUCGACCUAAGGUAUUCUGAUAUAUUGGUCUUUUUUAUUUUGGGAAAAUGAUCAUCAUAGGGCAGGGCGGGACCCGGCCUGGGCAAACCUAUAACAUGGCUGGGUCGAGGCAGGGCAGUGUAAAAUGAAUUUUUUGAAAUAGCUUCAUUUCAUAGAUUAGUGGUCAAAGCAUCAGUGUUUAUGGACAAAUUUGACAAAACUUGUUAUAGGUAACUCUACACUCAAAUGCUUUCGAGUAGGGGUGUACAUGAACCAGGUUGGUUCGGAUUUUUUAAACACCAAACCAAACCAAUUGCGUCGGAUUUUUAAAUUUAUACACCAAACCGAACCAAUAAAAUUUGAAUUUUUCAACCUCGGUUUUCUCGGGGUUUUUUUUUUUCGGAAUAGUCUUGAUACGAAACAUAUAACUUUUACUUCAAAUAUUUCUUUAGUCUUAGUAAGAUACAACUAUAUAAUUAAGGCGUUUCUUAAGAAAAUAACACAAAAUGUGAGAAGAGUGAUGACAUUGUAUUAAAAUAUUCAAUAAAAGAUAAUAAAAUCGGUUAAAAUAAAUAUUGCUAAUUAAGAAGCCAUAAAGAAAAUGAUCAUAAUCUAAAAAUACUAUGUCAUGCUAAAACAAGUACGGCUAAUAAGUAUUAAUUACAUAACAAAGAAAUAAACUUAAGUUAUGUAUUUUCACUCUCUAAACCAAUUAUGCAAAACUAAAUAAUAGAUAUCCAACAUUAUUGUCUUUCCUAGUGGUAAAUUGGAUUUCUUUUGUUAGCAUUAGUGUUGAUUUGGACUUUAUUUGAAUUACUAACAUCCAUAGGAUAUAAAACUUAUUGAUAUUCAAAAUUCUAAGUUCAAGCUUGAAUAAUAUGAUAAUAGAUUAAAAAAACUACGAAAAAAUUUAAGAAAUAUUUAUAAAUUACAUUACAAAUAAAUAUUUUUAUGUAUAAAAUGUUUUAAAAAUUGAAUACAUGUAAUGUCGGGUUGGUUUGGUUCGGUUUGACUUUUUUUAGCUAAAACCAAACCAAACCAACUAUGGUCGGUUUUUUUUUUUUCAACACCAAACCAAGUCAAACCAAACCACUAGUCGGGUUUUUUUUCUCGGUUUGUCGGUUUGGUGCGGUUUGUCGGUUUACUUUGUACACCCCUACUUUCAAGUGAUGCAACUUUAUUUGGGUUCCCUCUUCCUGUUUUUACAUACAUACAUUAGUGAUCAUUUCUUUUCAGCAGCUACUCUUUGAAGUCGACCUUUCUUCGAAUGAGUUUGAAUAUACAAGCUUUCAAAAUCUUGAAUCCCAAACAAAUAAUGAAGAACAAGCAAAUGGGGUAUGUCGGGGCAGACUAAACGGGAACGACAGGGCUGGAUCUAAACGGUGCAGAGAGUUAGAAGUGCACAUAUAGCCCAUUUGAGGAUCACUAUUUAAGGCAUAACUAAAGUUCAUAAAAUUUUCCACUUCAAAAUCAAGUUUAGACUCACAGGUUUGAAGUUUCAAAAGUUCAGAAAUACGGGUCUGAAGCUGGGCUUGCCAAAGCCAAACUUCAUGCAUUUUCUUAACAACUCACCACAAUGGAUAUAGUCAACUCUACAAUAGCUUGGACCAUUGGAUAGUGAAGAACUCACAUCAAGGGAAGACAGAUUUCAAGCUAGUCCAACUAGAUGGAAUAAAACCAAAAAGAUUAUUAGAUCCAAGAAAAAUGCGAGUAACAGAUUCAGGGUAUGCAAUGCAAGGACUCAAAGAAGACGCGGGGGAGGAAACAGCGCUGUUUUCUCAAGUUUGCCAUCACGGUCUACAAGUCAAUACUUUGAAAAAACUGAAUGUAACUUAAAUCGUAUGGCAGAAAGACUUGACCUGUCCCGGCUCACGCCAUCCCUAGUUAUCAUUCUUUUCCGAACAAAUUGAACUACAAAGUUGAUAUGGGAUGAAGGGUGGAAAGUGGAUGCUUGCUUAUACAAUCUGUUGUUGCUGAUUCAGGAGAAUUUUUUACUAUAAACAUCUUAGAGCCUUAAUUCGGACAUAUAUUGUAAUUGAGAUACUCAAUUAUGCACCUAUUUGUUUUAAGUAAAACGUUUAUGUGCAUGCUGCUCAA